AGUGUUGCUUGCUGUGGCUUAUGGUGGAUGCCUGGGCACGCAUGACCGAUGAAAGACGUGUGGGGCUGCGAUAAGCCUCGGGGAGUUGCCGACAGGGCGUUGAUCCGAGGGUGUCUGAAUGGGGUAACCUACUGGCUGUUGUGGGCUGGUACCGCGUGUGUGCGGGGGGUACGCAGGGAAGUGAAACAUCUUAGUACCUGUAGGAAAAGAUAUUCUGUGAGUAGUGGCGAGCGAAAGCGGAGGAGACUAAACCAUGCGCGUGGUAGAGGCGCCUGCUGAUGCGUGUGUGGUGUUGUGGGGUUUCCCGUGGGGUGCAGGCGUGCCCCGUGCUAGUGAUAAAGUUGGAUAUGAGGUGAACAUGGUUGAAUACAUGACCGUAGAGGGUGAUGGUCCCGUAGCCGAAAGUGUCUGGCCUGGUUGUGGAGUGUCCCCGAGUAGGACGAGACUCGUGGAAUCUCGUGUGAAUCUGCCCUGACCGUGGGGUAAGUCUAAAUAUGUGUGCGUGACCGAUAGUGGACGAGUACCGUGAGGGAAAGGUGAAAAGUAGCCCGGGAGGGUAGUGAAAUAGUUCCUGAAACCAUAGGCUGUCAAUCCGUCAGAGCCCUUUGUGUGGGGUGAUGGCGUGCCUAUCGAAAAAUGAGUCUGCGAGUCAGUGGCAUGUGGCGAGGUUAACCUGUGUGGGGGAGCCGUAGCGAAAGCGAGUGUGAAGAGCGCGUGGUUAGUCGCAUGUUCUGGACCCGAAGCGGGAUGAUCUAGCCGUGAGCAGGGUGAAGCGCGGGUGAGACCGUGUGGAGGCCCGAACCCACCUAGGUUGAAAACUGGGGGGAUGACUUGUGGUUAGGGGUGAAAGGCCAAUCAAAUUCCGUGAUAGCUGGUUCUCUCCGAAAUGCAUUUAGGUGCAGCGUUACCAGGUCGCUUGCUGGGGGUAGAGCUACUGGAUGCCGACGGGCCCAUGGUGGGUACUAACGGCAACCAAACUCCGAAUACCAGUAGGUGUGUGGUGGCAGUGAGUCAGCGGGGGAUAAGCUCCGUUGUCGAAAGGGAAACAGCCCAGAUCGUCGUUUAAGGUCCCUAAGCGUGUGCUAAGUGGGAAAGGAUGUGGAGUCGCAUGGACAGCCAGGAGGUUGGCUUAGAAGCAGCCAUCCUUGAAAGAGUGCGUAACAGCUCACUGGUCUAGUGGUUCCGCGCCGACAAUGUAGCGGGGCUCAAGCACACCACCGAAGACGCGGCAAUCAGCUUGAAGGCUGGUUGGGUAGGAGAGCGUUCCCUGCUGGGGUGAAGCAUGAGUGGAAGCUUGUGUGGACUGUAGGGAAGUGAGAAUGCAGACAUGAGUAACGACAGGCGGGUGAUAAUCCCGUCCGCUGGAUGACUAAGGGUUCCGGGGCCACGUUCAACGUCCCCGGGUGAGUCGGGUCCUAAGGCGAGGCCGACAGGCGUAGUCGAAUGGAUGAACGGGUUGAUAUUCCCGUACCGGUGGUAUACCGUCAUAACUUGAGGCGCUGGUAGGGUGGUCCUGCUUGUUUUUUUCCUGUCUUUCGGGGUGGGAGAGAGGCGAGUGGUGUCAUUACUGGCUGGUGUAGUAGGGUAGCAGAGGAGUGACACAUGAGGAUAGCUGUCCAGCCCGGUGGUUGUGGUUGGCUAAGCGUGUGGGGCGUGUGAUAGGUAAAUCCGUCACGGUGUGCGUCUGAGGCGUGAUAGGCAUGAUCCUGUAAGGGGUUGUGUGAUGGUGGGUCCUUGUGUCGAGAAAAGCUUCGCUGUCAGGUGUGCUACCGCUCGUACCCUAAACCGACACAGGUGGUCAGGUAGAGUAUACUAAAGCGUUCGAGUGAAUCCUGGUCAAGGAACUCGGCAAAUUACUCCCGUGCCUUCGGUAUAAGGGAGACCCUGCUGGGUGAUCUAAUGUACGUUAGGGAGCUUGACGGGGUGGCACAGACUAGGGGGUAGCGACUGUUUACCAAAAACACAGGUGCAUGCGAAGACGUAAGUCGCGGUAUAUGCACUGACGCCUGCCCGGUGCCGGAAGGUUAAGAGGAUCCAUUAACCCUGUGGGUGACGUGGUGAAUUUAAGCCCCGGUAAACGGCGGUGGUAACUAUAACCAUCCUAAGGUAGCGAAAUUCCUUGUCGGGUAAGUUCCGACCUGCACGAAUGGCGUAACGACUUCCCCACUGUCUCGACCAGGACCUCGGUGAAAUUGCAGUACGAGUAAAGAUGCUCGUUAAGCGCAGAAGGACGAAAAGACCCCGGGACCUUUACUAUACCUUGGUAUUGUCGUUCGCUGCUGGUUGUGUAGAAUAGGCGGGAGACGGUGAAGCAUGGUCGCUAGAUUGUGUGGAGUCGACAGGUGAAAUACCGUUCUGCUGGCAGUGGGCGUCUAACCUCGAACAGUUAUCCUGUUCAGGGACAGUGCCUGGCGGGUAGUUUAACUGGGGCGGUUGCCUCCUAAAGAGUAACGGAGGCGCUCAAAGGUCCGCUCAACCCGGUUGGCAAUCGGGUUACGAGUGUAAUCAUAUAAGCGGGCUUGACUGUGAGAGUGACGGCUCGAGCAGGGACGAAAGUCGGAGAUAAUGAUCCGGUGCCGGUGUACGGACGCGGCAUCGCUCAACGGAUAAAAGGUACCCCGGGGAUAACAGGCUGAUCAUUCCCAAGAGUCCAUAUCGACGGGAUGGUUUGGCACCUCGAUGUCGGCUCGUCGCAUCCUGGGGCUGGAGCAGGUCCCAAGGGUUCGGCUGUUCGCCGAUUAAAGCGGCACGCGAGCUGGGUUCAGAACGUCGUGAGACAGUUUGGUCUCUAUCCUCUGCGCUCGUUGGAAUCUUGAGGAGCCCUGCCCAUAGUACGAGAGGACCUGGGUGGACGAACCUCUGGUAUGCCAGUUGUCACGCCAGUGGCAUGGCUGGUUAGCUACGUUCGGAUAGGAUAACCGCUGAAAGCAUCUAAGCGGGAAGCCUUCUCCAAGAUAAGGAUUCCCGAAACCCUUCGAGGUUUGAAAGACCCCCGGUAGAACACCGGGUUGAUAGGCCAGACGUGGAAGCAUGGUAACAUGUGAAGCUGACUGGUACUAACGGUCAAGAGCAACUACUCU
rnacentral:rRNA from 16 species